rnacentral:misc_RNA from 1 species
CCGAGUUUACAACUCCCAAACCCAAUGUGAACGUUACCAAACUGUUGCCAUCGGCGGGAUCUCUGCCCCGGGUGCGUCGCAGCCCCGGACCAAGGCGCCCGCCGGAGGACCAACCAAAACUCUUAUUGUAUACCCCCCUCGCGGGUUUUUUUUAUAAUCUGAGCCUUCUCGGCGCCUCUCGUAGGCGUUUCGAAAAUGAAUCA